UGCAGGUGUGUGUGGUUUGGGCUGGUGGCAGGGAAUGGUGUUGCCAUGGAAGGCAACUCAGAUUCCUGAGGAUGAGGAGAAGGGAAAGUUUUGGUGGAAACAGAGACUUCUGCUCCUGAUGAGAUCCUGCUGAUGAAUAAUCAGCUCCAUAUCU
rnacentral:lncRNA from 12 species